rnacentral:lncRNA from 1 species
GCGUGAACACCAUGCAGAAAAAAUCAUCCCGAGUUCUACAUCCACCGUUCUCUCCAGACAGACACAAACUGUGGCCUUCACUUCGUUAAUGUCACUGUCGUCCCAACCAGACACUCCCAAAAAAAAAAUCCGACACAACAAACAAAUCCAGCCUCGCAUUCACCAAAUCAAAUAAAAAAGAUCCUCCUAUAUGCUCCCUCGCCUCUCUCCUCUCCUCCGCAACUCUUCAAUGGCACGUGCCGUUCCACGCGCCUCCACCCCUCU